UUCAAUAUUUACUCCGAACUCUUGUACCUAAAAGCUGGAUGAAGCCAGGGUAUUUGAGUCGAUGGGUAUAAGGGGAAACCCUUAUGCCUCCCAGUGCGGAAAGGAGAGUGAUGGCUGUCUGAA
rnacentral:ncRNA from 2 species